CCCCAAAUUACCCAGGAUUCUACAGUAAUAACUGCGUGCUCCGCUGGGUCGUCCAUGCUCCUCGGGGCCAUGUUGUCAAGCUGGACUUUAUAGAUUUUGACCUGGAGGAAUCAGACAGAUGUUUGUACGAUUCCCUGACGGUGCUGGCAGAUGUUGGAGAAAGUGAGGAGAUCGCGGUGCUGUGUGGUGCCAGUGUCCCUCCUCCUGUCCUGUCUUACCACAGCGUCAUGGUUCUUCGCUUCACGUCAGACAGCACCAUCACACACAGGGGCUUCAAGGCUACAUUAACAUUCAUCAGCAUCACAGACUUGAAGAGUCAGGACAGAACACCUAUAGUGGCACAAGCAGAGGUUUCAACAUCGAUCCGGCGACACACCACACCUUAUGACGUGCAGCAGUCCAGCAGCAGAGCUCUAGCUGAUGUGCAGGAGGUCACAGAUGAUGGAGAGGAGGGUUCAGAUGAUGAAGACAACAGCAGCGAAUCAUCAGGGACCGCACAGUAACCUGCUGGUCAUGGAUAUUCAUCAUGCCAACCUAUCAAAGCUGG
rnacentral:lncRNA from 1 species